GUUCUCGCGGGCGCUCCCAGGUUGUGCGCCUUUGUGGAGGGGGUCUGGUGGUGCUUAAUUGGAUCGCCAGGCUGCCGCCACCGUUUACUGUGAAAAAAAUUAGAGGUGUUCAAAGCAGGCGAUUGCCCUGAAUACAUUAGCAUGGAAUAAUAGAAUAGGACCCGGUCCUAUUUUGUUGGUUUGUUUGAAUCGGGUAAUGAUUAAAAGGGACGGUUGGGGGCAUUCGUAUUCCGACGCUAGAGGUGAAAUUCUUGGAUUGUCGGAAGACGAACAGCUGCGAAAGCGUCUGCCAAGGACGUUUUCAUUGAUCAAGAACGAAAGUAAGGGGAUCGAAGACGAUCAGAUACCGUCGUAGUCUUUACUAUAAACGAUGAGGACUGGAGAUCGGAUAAGACUGAUUUAUGGCUUAUCCGGCAUCCUUCGAGAAAUCAAAGUUUGCUUUCUGGGGGGAGUAUGGUCGCAAGGCUGAAACUUAAAGGAAUUGACGGAAGGGCAUCACCGGGUGUGGAGCCUGCGGCUUAAUUUGACUCAACACGGGAAAACUUACCAGGUCAGGACAUAGUAAGGAUUGACAGAUUGAGAGCUCUUUCUUGAUUCUAUGGUUGGUGGUGCAUGGCCGUUCUUAGUUGGUGGAGUGAUCUGUCUGGUUAAUUCCGUUAACGAGCGAGACCUGGGCGUGCUAGCUAGGCGCCGUUACCUUUGGUAGCGAGGCAAAGCCUUCCUAGACGGACUGUGGGCGUCUAGCCCACGGAAGCUCCAGGCAAUAACAGGUCUGAGAUGCCCUUAGAUGUCCUGGGCCGCACGCGUGCUACACUGAACGGGUCAACGAGUGACGGAUAUGCGAGAGCAUUUCCGAAUCUCCAAAUCCGUUCGUGAUGGGGAUCGACGGUUGCAAUUUCCGUCGUCAACGAGGAAUACCUUGUAAGCGCGGGUCAUCAUCCCGCGCUGAAUACGUCCCUGCCCUUUGUACACACCGCCCGUCGCUCCUACCGAUUGAGUGGUCCGGUGAGGCCUUUGGGAGAGCUAGAUGAACUGUUUUACUCAGAUCUUUUGGCUUCAACUUGGUCAAACCUUAUCACUUAGAGGAAGGAGAAGUCGUAACAAGGUUUCCGUAGGUGAACCUGCGGAAG
rnacentral:rRNA from 1 species